rnacentral:lncRNA from 1 species
ACUCUCCAUAAUUAUUUGAAUAAUUGUUCUAUAAUCGAUCUCUCAUUUGGUUUUCUAAAUUUGUAGUUAGAAAGGUUUCACCAAAAUGGGGAAUGAAAAGAACUCCGAGUCUUCCUCAUCCAUGCCUAAUCUUACCUGGGGAACAAAUGAAAAAUGGCUGAAAUGGCAUGUUUUGGAACUAGGCUCUGGUCCAGGACCAAUAUCAGAAUCUGUAAGGAUUCAUGAUGUGUUCUUAAGUUUCAGGGGAGUGGAUACUCGUUCUACGUUCGUUUCACAUCUAUAUACAGCUCUUCGAAAUGCUGGAAUUAAAGUUUUUCAAGACGAUAGUGGGCUUCAAAGAGGAGAUUACAUUUCAACAUCAUUAUUCCGUGCAAUUGAAGAGUCUCAAAUUUCUUUAAUUGUUUUCUCAAAAAACUAUGCCAAUUCAAAAUGGUGUUUGGAUGAAUUGGAAAAAAUAAUGAAGUGUUACAGAACCAUAGGACAAAAGGUUGUGUCUGUGUUCUACCAUUUAGAACCAUCUGAAGUGCGCCAUCAGACAGGAGAGUUUGGAAUAUCUUUUCGUAGUCUUUUGUAUGAACUGCUUCCGCAGACAAGUAUGUUUCGAAGCUAUAAUAUAAGAUUUUUGACCACUAAAAUUUGGAACAAGAAGAAAUUUACGCAAGAUUGGAAAGAGGCUCUUCGUCAGGAAGCUAGCAUUGCAGGGUUUGAAAUACUCAAGUCACGGAAUGAAAGUGAGUAUAUCAACGCUAUUGUUGACCGGAUUUCAGACUUGUUGAAUAAGACAGACUUGUUU